rnacentral:rRNA from 1 species
UGGGGAAUUUUGGACAAUGGGCGAAAGCCUGAUCCAGCCAUGCCGCGUGAGUGAAGAAGGCCUUCGGGUUGUAAAGCUCUUUUAGUCGGAAAGAAAGAGUUGCAAUGAAUAAUUGUGAUUUAUGACGGUACCGACAGAAAAAGCACCGGCUAACUACGUGCCAGCAGCCGCGGUAAUACGUAGGGUGCGAGCGUUAAUCGGAAUUACUGGGCGUAAAGGGUGCGAAGGCGGCCUGGCAAGUCAGAUGUGAAAGCCCCGGGCUUAACCUGGGAAUUGCGUUGGAAGCUACAAGGCUAGAGUGCAGCAGAGGGGAGUGGAAUUCCAUGUGUAGCAGUGAAAUGCGUAGAGAUGUGGAAGAACACCGAUGGCGAAGGCAGCUCCCUGGGUUGACACUGACGCUCAUGCACGAAAGCGUGGGGAGCAAACA